AUGAGGGACGCUAUCAAAUUUCUAGAAAGGGAUUUUACCCAGCGAUGGCUCCUUCCACCUCCACUUCGGAAAAAGCCGAUCAAACCACCGAUGCAGCUGCACAAGAAACAACUAUCUGGAUGGACCACCAUGAGAACGAGUGGCGGCGGCGGCGACCUGUUCGGUGCGCUGCCGGACGAGCUCCUGGGCCACGUGCUCUCCUUCCUGCCCUCGCGCGAUGCCGUGCAUACAUCCCUCCUCUCCCGCCGCUGGCGCCACCUCUGGAGAUCAGCCCCCGCCAUCCACGUCCACGGCGAGGGAGACGCCUUGUGCGUCUUCGUCAACAGCCUCCUAAUGGGCCGAGAAGCUGCCUCCGCGCCGCCGCUGCCCUCGUUCGAGAUCGACGCCAACCUGAAGAAACUCCGCGACUGCAACUACUGCGAGUACAAGCCCGACUACUGCAGGUGCGAGUUAGGAGUUCUUCUACCCCUACUCGGACCGCUGGGAGGUCAACCCCCAGGUCGACCUCAAGACGUGCUCUGGAAGCCGCGGCGCCCCCUCCCCUUCGCCUCGCCGCACCUGACGACGAUCCACCUCGACACCGUCCGCCUCGUCGACGGCCAACUCGACUUCUCCUGCUGCCCGGCGCUACUGCGCCUCAAUCUCGAGCGUUGCGGCCUCUAUGCAGACGCACUCGUAUCGCCCUCGCUGGAGCGCCUCACCAUCGACGACUGCCGCACCGAUAUCGACGAUGACUGGGAAGCAGGACCAGGCGAGAAAAUGCACACGAGCGUGUCGACGCUGAGACUCCGUUUUCUGGAGAUAUCUAAUAACUACGGUAAGAAGCAGUUCCCCGAGAUGAUGCCUUGGUUGACAAAGGAGAGCGUCCGGUAUACAAAUGAAUGGUUAUAUGAUGGUGAUUCAGAAUCAGAUUCGGAGGGAUAG
rnacentral:rRNA from 1 species